rnacentral:rRNA from 1 species
UGAGGAAUAUUGGUCAAUGGGCGGAAGCCUGAACCAGCCAAGUAGCGUGAGGGAUGACUGCCCUAUGGGUUGUAGACCUCUUUUAUAAGGGAAUAAAAUACGGGACGUGUCCUGUUUUGCAUGUACCUUAUGAAUAAGGACCGGCUAAUUCCGUGCCAGCAGCCGCGGUAAUACGGAAGGUCCGGGCGUUAUCCGGAUUUAUUGGGUUUAAAGGGAGCGCAGGCGGUCUUAUAAGCGUGACGUGAAAUGCAGCGGCUCAACCGUAUGAUGUGCGUCGCGAACUGUGAGACUUGAGUGUAUUCGAUGUCAGCGGAAUUUGUGGUGUAGCGGUGAAAUGCGUAGAUAUAUGGAAGAACACCAGUGGCGAAGGCGGC